CACCCCUAUCAGAAAUGGGCAAAGAGACACCUUAGUUUGUUGAUGGUGCCAUUCUUAUAUCAGUCAGGGGCAGAGCAGAUGGCAGCCCUUUGUUCAUCCUAGAUUGAUGCCUGGCUUGUUGGCCAAAACUAUCUUAUGCCUAGGACUCAUAA
ensembl:snoRNA LOC120094903 small nucleolar RNA SNORA48